AGGGCCCUCAUGUAGAUGUUGGACGAGAUGGCGCUUAGCCCCGAGCUCGCUGUCAGUCUCCAAGUACAGUUCGACGAGGUCUGUUGAUUAUUUUUCAUCUUGGUCUUCUUGUUUCUUUCAGUCCAUGAGCGCUGGACCACUAGCUCAAGAGCAAGGCCUUCUUCAAGGUACCAAACAGAUCAGCUACAGAUCUUUCAUAUCUUCUGUUGGAUGCCAUGAUGACUUCUGUGCUUAAUUAUGAAAUUCAAUCAAAAGAUAUAUGGAUGAUUCUAUGGUUUGUGGCAAGUAUACUGCAAUGAUGAUGAUGAUGUUCCCGUUGAUGAUGAUGAUGAUGUUCCCGUUGAUGA